rnacentral:rRNA from 1 species
UCCCAGAGCUAACUCNGAACUGCCAUCAAACUUUUCAGCUAGAGUUGAUAGAGGANAGCAGAAUUUCUAGUGUAGAGGUGAAAUUCGUAGAUAUUAGAAAGAAUACCAAUUGCGAAGGCAGCUUUCUGGAUCAUUACUGACACUGAGGAACGAAAGCAUGGNUAGCGAAGAGGAUUAGAUACCCUCGUAGUCCAUGCCGUAAACGAUGUGUGUUAGACGUUGGAAAUUUAUUUUCAGUGUCGCAGCGAAAGCGAUAAACACACCGCNUGGGGAGUACGACNGCAAGGUUAAAACUCAAAUGAAUUGACGGGGACCCGCACAAGUAGUGGAGCAUGUGGUNUAAUUCGANGAUACGCGCAGAACCUUACCAACACUUGACAUGUUCGUCGCGACUUUAAGAGAUUAAAGUNUUCGGUUCGGCCGGACGAAACACAGGUGCUGCAUGGCNGUCGUCAGCUCGUGUCGUGAGAUGUUGGGUUAAGUCCCGCAACGAGCGCAACCCUCACUNUUAGUUGCCAUCAUUAAGUUGGGCACUCUGAAAGAACUGCCAGUGNUAAGCUGGAGGAANGUGGGGAUGACGUCAAGUCCUCAUGGCCCUUACNNGUUGGGCUACACACGUGCUACAAUGGUAUCUACAACAGGAAGCAAGANGGCGACGUUAAGCAAAUCCUUAAAAGAUACCUCAGUUCGGAUUGCACUCUGCAACUCGAGUGCANGAAGCUGGAAUUACUAGUAAUCGUGGAUCAGCGUGCCACGGUGAAUGCGUUCCCGGGUCUUGUACACACCGUCCGUCACACCA